AAUGGGAUAGAAGAUGCUGACUGGUAUCUUCCAACUCCAGCUUCUCAGAAGUCACCCUGGCGGGUUUAGCCAGUAAAGAAAACUUCAGCAACGUCAGCCUGCGGAGCGUCAACCUGACGGAACAGAACUCUAACAACAGCGCCGUGCCCUUCAAGAGGCUGAUGCUGUUGCAGAUUAAAGGAAGAAGACACGUGCAGACCAGGCUGGUGGAACCUCGAGCUUCGGCGCUCAAUAGUGGGGACUGCUUCCUCCUGCUCUCUCCCCACUGCUGCUUCCUGUGGGUAGGAGAGUUCGCAAACGCCAUAGAAAAGGCGAAGGCCUCAGAACUUGCAGCUUGAUUGUAGAGCUACUUAUAUCUAAAUCAUUGAAGAAGGAAUUAAUAUACACACUCUUGCAGCCAAAGACUUCUGCAAGCUUCUGGGUGGCCAAACCAGUUACCAAUGUCAGACUUCAUUGUACUUCAGAGACUGACAAGACUUGAAUCUCCUUUCUUCUCCCUUAGCUCAUUCUUCUAAACCAGCUACUUUGCAAUGUAAAAUGUGAUGCUCUCCUGUUGUUCUUAUCCCCAAGCUGCUGGAGACCCAAAAGAAGAUGAACUCUAUGAAGCAGCCAUAAUAGAAACUAACUGCAUUUACUGUCUCAUGGAUGACAAACUUGUUCCUGAUGACGACUACUGGGGGAAAAUUCCAAAGUGCUCUCUUCUGCAACCCAAAGAGGUACUGGUGUUUGAUUUUGGUAGUGAAGUUUACGUAUGGCAUGGGAAAGAAGUCACGUUAGCACAACGAAAAAUAGAAUUUCAGCUGGCAAAGCACUUAUGGAAUGGAACCUUUGACUAUGAGAACUGUGACAUUAAUCCCCUGGAUCCUGGAGAAUGCAAUCCGCUUAUCCGCAGAAAAGGACAGGGGCGGCCCGACUGGGCGAUAUUUGGGAGACUUACUGAACACAAUGAGACGAUUUUGUUCAAAGAAAAGUUUCUGGAUUGGACAGAACUGAAAAGACCAAAUGAGAAGAACCCCGGGGAACUUGCCCAGCACAAGGAAGACUCCAGGGCCGAUGUCAAGCGGAACAACGUGACACGGAUGGUGUCCGUGCCCCAGACGACAGCAGGUGCCAUCCUGGACAGGGUGAACAUUGGCUGUGGCUGUGGCCUGGUGGAAGGACACCACAGGAGGCAGUUUGAGAUCACCAGUGUCUCCGUGGAUGUCUGGUACAUCCUGGAAUUUGACUAUAGCAGGCUCCCCAAACAAAGCAUCGGGCAGUUCCACGAGGGGGAUGCCUAUGUGGUCAAGUGGAAGUUCAUGGUGAGCACGGCAGAUCCCGGAAGUUUUAACUUCGCGCCCCGCCUGUUCGUCCUCAGCAGCUCCUCUGGGGAUUUCGCAGCCACGGAGUUCGUGUACCCUGCCCGAGCCCCCUCUGUGGUCAGUUCCAUGCCCUUCCUGCAGGAAGAUCUAUACAGCGUGCCCCAGCCAGGAAAAAAAUCUCAAGAAGCCAGUCCCCAAGUCUUACCUUAUCCAUGCUGGUCUGGAGCCCCUAACAUUCACCAAUAUGUUUCCUAGCUGGGAGCACAGAGACGACACUGCUGAGAUCACAGAGAUGGACAUGGAAGUUUCCAAUCAGAUCACCCUCGUGGAAGACGUCUUAGCCAAGCUCUGUAAAACCAUUUACCUGCUGGCCAACCUCCUG